CCCCAGACUCCUACGGGAGGCAGCAGUGGGGGAUAUUGCACAAUGGGGGAAACCCUGAUGCAGCGACGCCGCGUGGGUGAAGAAGCGCCUCGGCGCGUAAAGCCCUGUCAGCAGGGAAGAAAAUGACGGUACCUGAAGAAGAAGCCCCGGCUAACUACGUGCCAGCAGCCGCGGUAAUACGUAGGGGGCAAGCGUUAUCCGGAUUUACUGGGUGUAAAGGGAGCGUAGACGGCAUGGCAAGUCAGAUGUGAAAGCCCGGGGCUCAGCCCCGGGACUGCUCUGGGAACUGUGCGGCUGGAGUGCGGGAGGGGCAGGCGGAAUUCCUGGUGUAGCGGUGAAAUGCGUAGAUAUCAGGAGGAACACCGGCGGCGAAGGCGGCCUGCUGGACCGCGACUGACGUUGAGGCUCGAAAGCGUGGGGAGCAAACAGGAUUAGAUACCCCAGUACAC
rnacentral:rRNA from 1 species